CCUACGGGUGGCAGCAGUGAGGAAUAUUGGUCAAUGGGCGCGAGCCUGAACCAGCCAAGUAGCGUGAAGGAUGACUGCCCUACGGGUUGUAAACUUCUUUUAUAAAGGAAUAAAGUCAGGCACGUGUGCCUUUUUGUAUGUACUUUAUGAAUAAGGAUCGGCUAACUCCGUGCCAGCAGCCGCGGUAAUACGGAGGAUUCGAGCGUUAUCCGGAUUUAUUGGGUUUAAAGGGAGCGUAGGUGGGUUGUUAAGUCAGUUGUGAAAGUUUGGGGCUCAACCCUAAAAUUGCAAUUGAUACUGGCAGGCUUGAGUACAGUUGAGGUAGGCGGAAUGCGUGGUGUAGCGGUGAAAUGCAUAGAUAUCACAAAGAACUCCGAUUGCGAAGGCAGCUUACUAAACUGCCACUGACGUUGAUGCUCGAAAGUGUGGGUAGCAAACAGGAUUAGAUACCCGAGUAGUC
rnacentral:rRNA from 1 species